CCAAAGGCCCUUUUCAGGGCCACCCACGCAGUCAUUUUAAAGAGCU
rfam:Ophiophagus hannah scaffold141.1, whole genome shotgun sequence.